CCGCGUUGAACCCGGGGCGGUGUUUCCCCCNNNNNNNNNNGCAGGAGGAGGAGGAGGAGGUGGGAGAAGCCGGGAACCGGAGGACGACGAGGAGGUCCGGGAGGUCGGAGCCGAGCCGGACCCAGAGCGCUGCGGUCUUACCGGAUUCAGGUCCCCGGCUGAGCCCAAGCGCUCUGCGAGCGGAAGGCAGCGAGAGCCGGCGGCUCUGCCCGGUUGGAGUGUGGACAGCCCCGUCUCUCCUUUUCUGGGCCAUGCUACCCGGGUACACCUUAUGGAGUGUCUAUAGCCAGUAGCUUUCCAUCAACAGAAAGAAAGGAACCUCCCUCGAAUCCGCUACUCCUGGUUCUACCCUUCAACAGGACGUCACUUUGGGUGCAUGAAGAGCCGCCCCCUUUUCUGCUCCGGGUGAGCCAUCUCAGUCGUCUACAGGCACAACGCUGGAGUAAAACCUAUUUGUUCAGUCAUUUCAGUCACGUCCAAAUCUCCAUGACCCCAUUUGGUUUUUUUGUUUGUUUUUUGUGACAGUGAUACCAGAGUGCUUUGCCAUUUCCUUCUCCAGCCCAUUUUAACAAUGAGGAAACUGAGGCAGACAGGGUGAAGUGACUAGCCCAAGGUCACACAGCUGGUAAGUGUGCGUCUGAGGCUACAUUUGAAUUCACAAAGAU
rnacentral:lncRNA from 1 species